AACAGUAUGUGUAUUUCAGUUUAAUUUUUAGGUAAACGAGAUAUAGAAAUUGCCAAACGAGAUAAAGAAAUAAGUAAGUGUCAUUAUCCUUCCUCUGAUAAGAAACUUUUUGUACCAAUUUGGAUCCUCAUGUGGGAGUUUGUUUAAUUGUGGUGGAGGUGUUUGUUUUCAAAUGUAACUUUUUAAAUUGAUGCAAUAUGAAA